rnacentral:rRNA from 1 species
CCUACGGGAGGCAGCAGUGAGGAAUAUUGGUCAAUGGCCGAGAGGCUGAACCAGCCAAGUCGCGUGAGGGAAGACGGCCCUACGGGUUGUAAACCUCUUUUGUCGGGGAGCAAAGCGAGUCACGUGUGACUCAUUGAGAGUACCCGAAGAAAAAGCAUCGGCUAACUACGUGCCAGCAGCCGCGGUAAUACGUAGGUGGCAAGCGUUGUCCGGAUUUACUGGGUGUAAAGGGCGUGUAGCCGGGCUGACAAGUCAGAUGUGAAAUCCCGUGGCUCAACCACGGAACUGCAUUUGAAACGGUCGGUCUUGAGUAUCGGAGAGGCAGGCGGAAUUCCUAGUGGAGCGGUGAAAUGCGUAGAUAUUAGGAGGAACACCAGUGGCGAAGGCGGCCUGCUGGACGACAACUGACGGUGAGGCGCGAAAGCGUGGGGAGCAAACAGGAUUAGAUACCCGGGUAGUC